rnacentral:tRNA from 1 species
GCCUGGGUGGCUCAGUCGGUUGAGUGUCUGACUUCAGCUCAGGCCAUGAUCUCAUGGCCUGUGGGUUCAAGCCCUAUAUCGGGCU